rnacentral:siRNA from 1 species
GACCAUGUCCAUAUGGCAAGC